UGCCAAUUCUUAUGUUUUGUACAAUAAGAGAUGAGGUGUAAAGGUGUCUUGUGUUCAACAGAGGUACGGCUUAAUUAUUAUUGAGUGAGUGCUCAGAGAAGGUGAAAAGCCUGUGUGGUUGUGCCAUCCUGUUGAACCGGGAUACUGAAGAGUCUAGUUGUUUGAGAGUACAACUUAAAGUUGGUGGUAAAUUUCAUCAAAGGCUAAAUAUAUGAGGGGACUAAUAGCGAACAAGUACCAUGAGGGAAAGUUGAAAAGAACUCUGACGAGAGAGUUCAACAGUACGUGAAACCAUAUUGAGUAAAACAGAUAACUGUGUUGUUAUGUGGUGUGCCUAUCAACAGUCUAAUUGGUGUUGUGAUGCCUUGAGCGUAGGCUGUCUAUUCAGCUGAUUGCUCGUGGUUAGCAUAGCCGGAGAUUCUGUGCACUAGUGCGCACUCAAUCAUUGAGAAACUAUGCUGCUGCUGCAUCGAUGUGUAUCAGUCCGCACCUAGUGUGAAGUUACAUGUUGGGCGUUAGCUAGCUCUGGCGUAGUUUAGCUGUGUGACAGCUGUGGGCUGCGUUUACCAAAUGUAGUUGCUGUAUCUGCGAAUCGGUUUAUUCCUUUUUGCGGUGAGUAUAUUGCAGUAGGUAAGCGGUCCGCCAUCAAUGGUUAACAUUAGUUAUUUGACCCGUCUUGAAACACGGACCAAGGAGUUCAAAUGGCACGCGAGUCAUUGGGUUUAAGCACCCGAAGGCGAAGUGAAAUGCAAACAUAUUGUUAUUUGUGGUUGUUCCAUGAUUAAGCGAUAAGCUACUCAUGCUUUCUGGCAUUUGUAGACUACAAGCGUGAUGU
rnacentral:rRNA from 1 species